AACGAACGCUGGCGGCAGGCCUAACACAUGCAAGUCGAGCGCCCCGCAAGGGGAGCGGCGGACGGGUGAGUAACGCGUGGGAACGUGCCCCAAGGUACGGAAUAGCCCCGGGAAACUGGGGGUAAUACCGUAUGUGCCCUACGGGGGAAAGAUUUAUCGCCUUGGGAUCGGCCCGCGUUGGAUUAGGUAGUUGGUGGGGUAAUGGCCUACCAAGCCGACGAUCCAUAGCUGGUUUGAGAGGAUGAUCAGCCACACUGGGACUGAGACACGGCCCAGACUCCUACGGGAGGCAGCAGUGGGGAAUCUUAGACAAUGGGCGCAAGCCUGAUCUAGCCAUGCCGCGUGAGCGAUGAAGGCCUUAGGGUUGUAAAGCACUUUCAGGGGGGAAGAUAAUGACUGUACCCCCAGAAGAAGCCCCGGCUAACUCCGUG
rnacentral:rRNA from 1 species